UCGGCCUGAAGCUUAAAAACAUCAAACACUUAUUCCUCGAGAUUCAGGCCGGGUUUAGAAUAGUCGGUGUGAAGUUUAAAAACUUCAAACACUUAUUCCUCGAGAUUCAGGCCGGGUUUAGAAUAGUUGGCCUGAAACUUAUAGCCAUUGACCUGCCACUGCAAUUGAAGUAACUGUGGAUCAUCGUCUUGCAAAGCUGCAUGAACAAGCGCACCGCCACCUUUAAAGUUCUGCUUGCAGCGCAUCGAAAACUGGCAGCGCAGCACAAAGCUUUGGUGGCCGAACAGCAGAACAAGACCAUGGACGACGCUCAAGUGUCGGAGCUUUUGAAGCGCAUCACAGAAGUGCAGGGGGAGAAAACUCGGCUGGAGGAACAACACCGAGACGGGGUGGCUCGGCUGAGGGCGCAACUGGAAGCGCAAGCUGAGGCGCACAAGGCCGAGGUAGUUCAACUUACUUCUGCCAUCUCCACUCAAGCCGACGAGAAGAUCCGCCUGGAAGGCGAAGUGCAAAAAUGCAAGGGUCUUCUCACUGAAACCGAAGCCUGAGUCGCCGGCGCUGAAGAAGAGAAGAUCGAGAGUGCACAUCUACUAGGCGCGUGCAAGCGGGAUCUCAGCAAGAUUGACGGGAUGCUAGCCUAAUUUUUUCCACAAUCUACCGAGACUGCUCAGGCCGGCGUGAUUAGAGCUCGCGGAAGAAGGGAUCCAGCCAAGGCAUUACCCUCAGAAUAUGAUGUGGAGGACUACCUCAUCAGCAUCUCGACCCGUGUCAAGCCUCUGAAGUUGAAGCGACCGCCCCCGUACAGGGUUCGAUCUCUGUGCUUAUAGUGCUAGUCCCUGGAUCGACUCACUAGUACACACAGUUUCAUGAUGUAAUGUCAAGAUACAAAGGUCAAAGUACUUUAUUACAUCGCAUUCAACCAGAAUUUAAGAGUACUUACAAAAAUGCAUGACCUCUUGGGUCAGCAUACCAAAAUAGAGUUUCAAAAACUAAACAGCGGAAAGGUAGAAGCAAAUGAGCCACAACUACUCCAAGGCGAGAGCAUGUUGGAAUGCAGGCUCG